rnacentral:rRNA from 1 species
CUGCGUACCUUUUGUAUAAUGGGUCAGCGACUUAUAUUCUGUAGCAAGGUUAACCGAAUAGGGGAGCCGAAGGGAAACCGAGUCUUAACUGGGCGUUAAGUUGCAGGGUAUAGACCCGAAACCCGGUGAUCUAGCCAUGGGCAGGUUGAAGGUUGGGUAACACUAACUGGAGGACCGAACCGACUAAUGUUGAAAAAUUAGCGGAUGACUUGUGGCUGGGGGUGAAAGGCCAAUCAAACCGGGAGAUAGCUGGUUCUCCCCGAAAGCUAUUUAGGUAGCGCCUCGUGAAUUCAUCUCCGGGGGUAGAGCACUGUUUCGGCAAGGGGGUCAUCCCGACUUACCAACCCGAUGCAAACUGCGAAUACCGGAGAAUGUUAUUACGGGAGACACACGGCGGGUGCUAACGUCCGUCGUGAAGAGGGAAACAACCCAGACCGCCAGCUAAGGUCCCAAAGUCAUGGUUAAGUGGGAAACGAUGUGGGAAGGCCCAGACAGCCAGGAUGUUGGCUUAGAAGCAGCCAUCAUUUAAAGAAAGCGUAAUAGCUCACUGGUCGAGUCGGCCUGCGCGGAAGAUGUAACGGGGCUAAACCAUGCACCGAAGCUGCGGCAGCGACGCUUAUGCGUUGUUGGGUAGGGGAGCGUUCUGUAAGCCUGUGAAGGUGUGCUGUGAGGUAUGCUGGAGGUAUCAGAAGUGCGAAUGCUGACAUAAGUAACGAUAAAGCGGGUGAAAAGCCCGCUCGCCGGAAGACCAAGGGUUCCUGUCCAACGUUAAUCGGGGCAGGGUGAGUCGACCCCUAAGGCGAGGCCGAAAGGCGUAGUCGAUGGGAAACAGGUUAAUAUUCCUGUACUUGGUGUUACUGCGAAGGGGGGACGGAGAAGGCUAUGUUGGCCGGGCGACGGUUGUCCCGGUUUAAGCGUGUAGGCUGGUUUUCCAGGCAAAUCCGGAAAAUCAAGGCCGAGGCGUGAUGACGAGGCACUACGGUGCUGAAGCAACAAAUGCCCUGCUUCCAGGAAAAGCCUCUAAGCAUCAGGUAACAUCAAAUCGUACCCCAAACCGACACAGGUGGUCAGGUAGAGAAUACCAAGGCGCUUGAGAGAACUCGGGUGAAGGAACUAGGCAAAAUGGUGCCGUAACUUCGGGAGAAGGCACGCUGAUACGUAGGUGAAGCGACUUGCUCGUGGAGCUGAAAUCAGUCGAAGAUACCAGCUGGCUGCAACUGUUUAUUAAAAACACAGCACUGUGCAAACACGAAAGUGGACGUAUACGGUGUGACGCCUGCCCGGUGCCGGAAGGUUAAUUGAUGGGGUUAGCGCAAGCGAAGCUCUUGAUCGAAGCCCCGGUAAACGGCGGCCGUAACUAUAACGGUCCUAAGGUAGCGAAAUUCCUUGUCGGGUAAGUUCCGACCUGCACGAAUGGCGUAAUGAUGGCCAGGCUGUCUCCACCCGAGACUCAGUGAAAUUGAACUCGCUGUGAAGAUGCAGUGUACCCGCGGCAAGACGGAAAGACCCCGUGAACCUUUACUAUAGCUUGACACUGAACAUUGAGCCUUGAUGUGUAGGAUAGGUGGGAGGCUUUGAAGUGUGGACGCCAGUCUGCAUGGAGCCGACCUUGAAAUACCACCCUUUAAUGUUUGAUGUUCUAACGUGGACCCGUGAUCCGGGUUGCGGACAGUGUCUGGUGGGUAGUUUGACUGGGGCGGUCUCCUCCUAAAGAGUAACGGAGGAGCACGAAGGUUGGCUAAUCCUGGUCGGACAUCAGGAGGUUAGUGCAAUGGCAUAAGCCAGCUUGACUGCGAGCGUGACGGCGCGAGCAGGUGCGAAAGCAGGUCAUAGUGAUCCGGUGGUUCUGAAUGGAAGGGCCAUCGCUCAACGGAUAAAAGGUACUCCGGGGAUAACAGGCUGAUACCGCCCAAGAGUUCAUAUCGACGGCGGUGUUUGGCACCUCGAUGUCGGCUCAUCACAUCCUGGGGCUGAAGUAGGUCCCAAGGGUAUGGCUGUUCGCCAUUUAAAGUGGUACGCGAGCUGGGUUUAGAACGUCGUGAGACAGUUCGGUCCCUAUCUGCCGUGGGCGCUGGAGAACUGAGGGGGGCUGCUCCUAGUACGAGAGGACCGGAGUGGACGCAUCACUGGUGUUCGGGUUGUCAUGCCAAUGGCACUGCCCGGUAGCUAAAUGCGGAAGAGAUAAGUGCUGAAAGCAUCUAAGCACGAAACUUGCCCCGAGAUGAGUUCUCCCUGACCCUUUAAGGGUCCUGAAGGAACGUUGAAGACGACGACGUUGAUAGGCCGGGUGUGUAAGCGCAGCGAUGCGUUGAGCUAACCGGUACUAAUGAACCGUGAGGCUUAACCUUACAACGCCGAAG